rnacentral:rRNA from 1 species
GAUCCUGGCUCAGGAUGAACGCUGGCGGCGUGCUUAACACAUGCAAGUCGAGCGAAGCACUUUACUUGGAUUUCUUCGGAAUGACGAGUAUUGUGACUGAGCGGCGGACGGGUGAGGUAACGCGUGGGUAACCUGCCUCAUACAGGGGGAUAACAGUUAGAAAUGACUGCUAAUACCGCAUAAGACCACAGCACCGCAUGGUGCAGAGGUAAAAACUCCGGUGGUAUGAGAUGGACCCG